rnacentral:lncRNA from 10 species
GCUUGCCCCAGGGUUCGCGGAGAUUCCUCCUGCCUUCCCACGAUGUCAGGUUGUUUUAUUGUAACUACAUAAUCAUUCCCGUCUAGCAAGAAUAACGUUUUGCAUUUGGAGUUCGUCUUUCUUAGGUAGAGAUGUUGUCUUACAAAUCCUUACUGGAAAGAGGUCUGGGUCUUCUCCUUCACCUCAAUUCGGAUUCUUUGUGGCCAAGAAAUUCCCACCUUACCACUUACAGGGAGGCCAUCGGGAUUACCCCUCUGUCACCCCCCCACCCCGCCCCGGCCCCGCCGCUCUUUUUUUGCUGCCUUUCAGCAACAGCGACUCAGUUUACACUGUUUAUAAAACAUACUCUUUAAGAAAAGGUCCUGAUGUUAAAAAAGGGGGGGAGGGAAUGUCACGAAGUCAUUUUCACUAUGUAUGUGUUCUGUCUUCUUAAUUGGAUUUGAAGACCUGAAGUUCUCUUUUUCUUUUCUUUUUCUUUUUUUAGUAGCCCCAAGUGCCCUGCAUUUGCUCUUCUAACAAAGUUCUGUUUGUUGACGGACUGACCGGCUUACCGACACAAAGAUGGGAAGCAAAUGGAGAGACGGAUCAAGGCCCUUCCUCGGCAUCUGGAGGAAGCUUGGGCGAGUGUCUUGGUCGCCAGAGAUGGGGUUUCAUGAUGUUGCCCAGUUCUUGAACUCCUGAGCUCCAGUGAUCAGUCUGCCUCGGCUGCCCAAAGUGCUGCGAUUACAAGUGUGAGCCACCGCGCUGGCCUAUAAUGUGUUCUUUACUCAUGUAUAUGUUUUUUAAUUUCCAUAAUAAAUUUUUUACAACUAUU